rnacentral:rRNA from 1 species
AUUGAACGCUGGCGGCAUGCUUUACACAUGCAAGUCGAGCGGCAGCGCGGGGGCAACCCUGGCGGCGAGCGGCGAACGGGUGAGUAAUGCAUCGGAACGUAUCCUCGAGUGGGGGAUAACCCAGCGAAAGUUGGGCUAAUACCGCAUGGGCUCUGAGGAGGAAAGCGGGGGACCUUCGAGGCCCUCGCGCUGGAGGAGCGGCCGAUGUCCGAUUAGCUAGUUGGUGGGGUAAAGGCUUACCAAGGCGACGAUCGGUAGCUGGUCUGAGAGGAUGAUCAGCCACACUGGGACUGAGACACGGCCCAGACUACUACGGGAGGCAGCAGUGGGGAAUUUUGGACAAAGGGGGCAACCCUGAUCCAGCCAUGCCGCGUGAGUGAAGAAGGCCUUCGGGUUGUAAAGCUCUUUCGGACGGAACGAAAUGGGCGGGACUAAUACUCCUGUCUGAUGACGGUACCGUAAGAAGAAGCACCGGCUAACUACGUG